rnacentral:rRNA from 1 species
GCAGCAACGCCGCGUGAGGGACGACGGCCUUCGGGUUGUAAACCUCUUUUAGUAGGGAAGAAGCGAAAGUGACGGUACCUGCAGAAAAAGCACCGGCUAACUACGUGCCAGCAGCCGCGGUAAUACGUAGGGUGCAAGCGUUGUCCGGAAUUAUUGGGCGUAAAGAGCUCGUAGGCGGUUUGUCGCGUCUGCUGUGAAAACUGGAGGCUCAACCUCCAGCCUGCAGUGGGUACGGGCAGACUAGAGUGCGGUAGGGGAGAUUGGAAUUCCUGGUGUAGCGGUGGAAUGCGCAGAUAUCAGGAGGAACACCGAUGGCGAAGGCAGAUCUCUGGGCCGUAACUGACGCUGAGGAGCGAAAGCAUGGGGAGCGAACAGGAUUAGAUACCCUGGUAGUCCAUGCCGUAAACGUUGGGAACUAGAUGUGGGGGCCAUUCCACGGUCUCCGUGUCGCAGCUAACGCAUUAAGUUCCCCGCCUGGGGAGUACGGCCGCAAGGCUAAAACUCAAAGGAAUUGACGGGGGCCCGCACAAGCGGCGGAGCAUGCGGAUUAAUUCGAUGCAACGCGAAGAACCUUACCAAGGCUUGACAUAUACGAGAACGGGCCAGAAAUGGUCAACUCUUUGGACACU